rnacentral:rRNA from 1 species
AGUCACUGACAUUAGAUACCCGCGUAGUCCAGGGUGUAAACGCUGCAGACUUGGUGUUGGGAACCCUUCGGGGGUGCUCAGUGCCGGAGAGAAGUUGUUAAGUCUGCUACUUGGGGAGUACGUCCGCAAGGAUGAAACUUAAAGGAAUUGGCGGGGGAGCACCGCAACGGGAGGAGCGUGCGGUUUAAUUGGAUUCAACGCCGUAAAACUCACCAGGGAAGACUGUUACAUGAAAGCCGAGAUGAAGACUCUGCUAGAUUUUCAG